AUGAGACCAAGGCUCGCUCCUUUUUUUCAAAAUCAAUCGAAUCCGCCCCUCGCCUUGAAUUCCAACGCCCAAAGCUCUAGAUUCAGGCGCUUCGGACCUCCGAGGAUGUCCGGCUCCGACCUGCAAGGCCGGUGGAUUCCUUCCUCCGUCAUGGAGGAAGACGUGCUAAAGCUGAGAGACGCCCAAUAUUUGACCGGCGAAAUUGCAGACAGGCUGCCUGCCCAAGGGCAGGUUACUCCCACUCCCAAGCCUGGCGAGAGCGUGGUGUUCAUGUCUCACUUCCUUCGGGGGUUAGGCUUCCCGAUGGACCCCUUCGUGAGGGGGCUCAUGUUUUAUUAUGGGCUGGAAUUUCAUGAUUUGGAUCCGGAGUCUAUCCUCCACAUCUCAUCGUUUAUUGUCAUAUGUGAAGCCUUCCUCUGCAUUACCCCUCACUUCGGGGUGUGGCUCAAAACCUUCAAAGUGGAACCAAAGAUGAUCAGGGGGUAG
rnacentral:rRNA from 1 species